AUUGAACGCUGGCGGCAGGCCUAACACAUGCAAGUCGAACGAGUGGCGGACGGGUGAGUAAUGUCUGGGAAACUGCCCGAUGGAGGGGGAUAACUACUGGAAACGGUAGCUAAUACCGCAUACCAUCGGAUGUGCCCAGAUGGGAUUAGCUAGUAGGUGGGGUAACGGCUCACCUAGGCGACGAUCCCUAGCUGGUCUGAGAGGAUGACCGGCAAACCUGGAACGGGAAAACGUCCCAGACUCCUAGGGGAGGAAGCAGGGGGGAAUAUUGAACAAGGGGCGCAAGCCUGAUGCAGCCUGUCCGUGGGUAGGAAGAGGGCCUUCGGGUUGUAAAGGACUUUAAGCGAGGAGGCGUUACUCGCAGAAGAAGCACCGGCUAACUCCGUGCAAGCCGCCGCGGAAUUC
rnacentral:rRNA from 1 species